GGGUAAGAGAUGCUACCAUUUGUUCUGUGCUCAUGAAGCACUGGAGGCGUAACAGUGUUCAGGCUCCUGAAUUUGAAUGGUAGCUCUGGGUAUCUCUUGGACCUGAGCCACCAGAGCAGGAGAGAUGCCCCUAGGAGGAAACAGAAUUAGCAGAGUGAGCAAGUCUGAUUGAUUCAGCAUCUGAAUACACUGUACCAUGAGGAUCCUCUUAUCCUGAGCAGAAGUCUGUCAAAGUCAAUUCCAACAACUGAUGAGGCCGUUCAGGUGACAUCACCCUAGGAAAUUAUUUAAGUGAUACAGAGACUUUCUCAGUCUGUAGCUGUUUUAGACCGUGAAAUGACCAAAGCCUGCCUUUGGUUAGGAGUGCUGCUGGUACCCCAUAUCUUCAAUACCUCUCUGAAACAAAGGCUUGUUUGCUGCUAUUUGGUGAAGCACUCCCAUGUCACAGCUGCUACUUAGACAACUAAGACCUGGCCCACUAGGCUGCCAAGAGAGCAAGAAGAGAUUUGUAGAUGCCAGACGAGGUGGGAGAAGGAGGAAGAGCCCAAGUGUCUUGUUUGGUAUUUAAUGAAGACAGAAGGAAUGCUCCUGCAGGAGCUGUAGGUGAAAGGUAUUAUAGAGGAGCUAGAAAUUACUGGCAAUGGUGGCAAAAGCCGUAGGGAAUGAAACAGAGGUGCCAAGAAGAGGAUGAAACUGAGAAGGGCAAGGACAGAAUUGCUGUACCUCUUCCUUCCUGAAUCCUAUACCACUUGGAAAAAGAGGAUGAAUGCCAGCAGGCUGUUAACAAAGCAGCAGGUUUGCAGCAUGCUGCUCAAGGAAGACAGGAAGAGUAGGUGUUUGCCUGAAAUCCCAUCAUGGCAACUUCUGCAUUUGAUGAGUAUUACCAGCAUAGACAUGGGCACCGUGGAGGGAAUCCUGGCCACACAGAAAAAUGUAAGUCCACUUGAAUGCUUUCUCCUGGUGAUGCUUUUUCACUUCUUACCAGCACCUCAGACUCCCAUUCCAUAG
rnacentral:lncRNA from 1 species